rnacentral:rRNA from 1 species
GAAGGUGUGCGUGAGGCAUGCUGGAGGUAUCAGAAGUGCGAAUGCUGACAUAAGUAACGAUAAAGCGGGUGAAAAGCCCGCUCGCCGGAAGACCAAGGGUUCCUGUCCAACGUUAAUCGGGGCAGGGUGAGUCGACCCCUAAGGCGAGGCCGAAAGGCGUAGUCGAUGGGAAACGGGUUAAUAUUCCCGUACUUGGUGUUACUGCGAAGG